CCUACGGGGGGCAGCAGUAGGGAAUCUUUCACAAUGGGCGAAAGCCUGAUGGAGCAACGCCGCGUGCAGGAUGAAGGCCUUCGGGUUGUAAACUGCUUUUAUCAGCGAGAAAUAUCAUGGUAACCUAUGACUAAGGAUCGGCUCACUACGUGACAGCAGCCGCGGUCAUACGUAGGAUCCGAGCAUUAUCCGGAGUGACUGGGUGUAAAGAGUGGCGUAGGUGGCAUAAUAAGUAGCUAGUGAAAUCUGGUGGCUCAACCAUUCAGACUAUUAGCUAAACUGUUAAGCUCGAGACCGUUAGAGGUAACUGGAAUGUCUAGUGUAGGGGUGAAAUCCGUAGAUAUUAGAAGGAACACCAAUAGCGUAGGCAGGUUGCUGGGACGGUUCUGACACUAAGGCACGAAAGCGUAGGGAGCAAACGGGAUUAGAUACCCUUGUAGUC
rnacentral:rRNA from 1 species